CUGUGGCAAAAAGGAAGCUUUCCAGGGUAAUGUUUGAGUAGAAACUUGAUGAAUGUGCCAGGAUGUGUUACACAUCCUGGCUGAUGCUGUCUUUGCACGCAGCCACAGAGACUGAGGAUGGGAGCUGCAGCUCGUGACGUGCCCUGAACCCAUCCUGCACCCAGGUCAUUUCUCAGUCCCAAAGCAAGUUUUAACCCCACUGUGCAUCCUGCCCCUCAGAGCAAGAUGCAGGUUCCUUUGAGAUGCCAUCAUCUGCCAUGCCAUCAUCCUGAAGGGAUCACCCACAUGUCCAGGCUCCCAGCAC